AUUGAACGCUGGCGGCAGGCCUAACACAUGCAAGUCGAGCGGAGCGGCGGACGGGUGAGUAAUUCCUAGGAAUCUGCCUGGCAGUGGGGGAUAACGUCCGGAAACGGGCGCUAAUACCGCAUACUAUUAGAUGAGCCUAGGUCGGAGUCGCUAGUUGGUGGGGUAAAGGCCUACCAAGGCGACGAACCGUAACUGGUCUGAGAGGAUGAUCAGUCAAACGGGAACGGGGAAACGUUCCAGACUCCCACGGUAGGCAGCAGUGGGGAAUAUUGGCAAAUGGGCGAAAGCCUAAUCCAGCCAUGCCGCGUGUGUGAGGAAGGUCUUCGGAUUGUAAAGCACGUUAAGUUGGGAGGCGUUACCAACAGAAUAAGCAACGGCUAACUUCGUGCCAGCAGCCGCGGUAAUUC
rnacentral:rRNA from 1 species